rnacentral:rRNA from 1 species
CUUGUGGAAGCGCCGUCGCUCAACGGAUAAAAGGUACCCCGGGGAUAACAGGCUGAUCUUCCCCAAGAGUCCAUAUCGACGGGAUGGUUUGGCACCUCGAUGUCGGCUCGUCGCAUCCUGGGGCUGGAGUCGGUCCCAAGGGUUGGGCUGUUCGCCCAUUAAAGCGGUACGCGAGCUGGGUUUAGAACGUCGUGAGACAGUUCGGUCCCUAUCCGCUGUGCGCGUAGGAAUAUUGAGAAGGGCUGUCCCUAGUACGAGAGGACCGGGACGGACGAACCUCUGGUGUGCCAGUUGUCCUGCCAAGGGCAUGGCUGGUUGGCUACGUUCGGGAGGGAUAACCGCUGAAAGCAUCUAAGCGGGAAGCCUGCUUCGAGAUGAGUAUUCCCACCUCCUUGAGAGGGUAAGGCUCCCAGUAGACGACUGGGUUGAUAGGCCGGAUGUGGAAGCCCCGUAAGGGGUGGAGCUGACCGGUACUAAUAGGCCGAGGGCUUGUCCUCAGUUG